ACUGUUUUGAUCUCUUGCCUCAUACCUUACUUACUUCCUAUUGCAAACUUACAUUCUGUACACAAUUUUUUUUUUUAACCUAUUUUAAUCUAUAUGGAGGGUUUAUUUAUUUAUUGUUUCAACAGUGAUACUGCUGACAACCCCAUUGCAGGCUGUUUUAUAUCUUUAUUAACAUUCAGCCCUUUAAACUCCUUAUCAUUUUUAAUCACUUGAAGUUGUUUUAUGAUUAUGGAUAGUACUUACGAAUAGAGAAAUAUGUACAGCAGAUGAGCCAUAGAUAGGAAACUAUGUGUGGGCUACAUAAAAUUUGGUUUGAGGGAUUUUAAAUUAUACUUGUUGGCUUUUCUUAAGGUAUGUAAUGGGCUGGGUCAGUGACUUACUAAUCUCCAAGCCUGAUUCUGUUUAUUCACCUCUCCCGUCCCAGAAGAGCUGAUGAGGAGAUAGACUUGUCAGGAACGCAUAUAUAUUCUGCUAUGCUAAUUUAGUCUGUCAAUACUAUACUAUAUUGAGGUUCCACAAGGAAAUCCUACAACUUCUGGAUUGGAUGAUUUUCAUAGUGAAAGCAACCAAUUGUCAGCUGACUCUCAUCUUGGAAGUUAUUCAAAGAUUUUAAAAUACUAUUUUUUCCUUAAUAAAACUGGAUUUCAGUAACCCAAAGAACCAGACCCAUUGCCUGUCAAGUCGAUUCCGUAGAACUGCCCCAUAGAGUUUCCAAGGAGCAGCCAGUGGAUUUGAACUGCUGACCUUUUGGUUAGCAGCCAGGCUCUUAACCACUGCGCCACUAGGGCUCUGGCUUUCAGUAAUCUAGUGUUUUUUCAGUAUCUAGACUUUCUCAAUAUAACCAGCGGAAUCAAUACCUGUAUUAUUCUUGAAAAAAUACUGGUGAUCUCUAAAUUCUCACAGGAUCUAAUCCGAAGGGCCUGUAGAGAGAUUGUGCAACUAUAAAAACUGGUUAGGCACCAAAUAGAUCACAGAGUGGGAUUUUUUUUCAAGUAAAUAUUUGCCAGUAAGAAGUUAAUCGUAAAGAUAACAACCCCUCUCCCCAUUUGUUUAUUUUCCCUAAGACUGGUGCCAUGGUAGAAACUGGGACAUUUUUGUAAAUGACAGCCCCUACCCCAAAGUUUCUUAACUGUCCAGAAUGUUGUAGAUAACUCAUAAGACUUGAUGUUUUGUCUUGAUAUUUCUCUCCUUUCCUUCUACCCUUUUACACAUUCUUUGUUGCGGUGAUGAGUUCUUUCCAGAGGAAAAACAAGAAACCCAGAAAAGGCCAGGAUCACCAGACACCUGAAAAAUAUCAGGUUCACCUAGAGAGCAAGAGGAGAGACUUUUCUCAGAAAAAAGGAAAUCCAGACAACCAACACUGCAGAGAGCAGAGCCUGAGCCCCCAAGCAACCUGCCGAGAGAACCAGAGGAGCCAAAUGAGGAGCCUUACUGCAGUUUAUUAUUUGAAAUGCUUUGUAGGAAGAGGGAGGUGAGCCUGGCAUUUGCUAGGAACCAGAGUGGAACCGGCAAAAUGGCCAGCAACAGAGUCCUGAUCCAAAUGGAGAAAGGGAACCAGGCGUACCUCAACCUGGAGUGGGAA